rnacentral:rRNA from 1 species
GCCAGACUCCUACGGGAGGCAGCAGUGAGGAAUAUUGGUCAAUGGGCGCGAGCCUGAACCAGCCAAGUCGCGUGAGGGAUGAAGGAUCUAUGGUUCGUAAACCUCUUUUAUAAGGGAAUAAAGUGCGGGACGCGUCCCGCUUCGCAUGUACCUUAUGAAUAAGGAUCGGCUAACUCCGUGCCAGCAGCCGCGGUAAUACGGAGGAUCCGAGCGUUAUCCGGAUUUAUUGGGUUUAAAGGGUGCGUAGGCGGGCAUUUAAGCCGGCGGUCAAAUGUCGGGGCUCAACCCCGGCCUGCCGUCGGAACUGGGUGCCUUGAGUGGGCGAGAAGUAUGCGGAAUGCGUGGUGUAGCGGUGAAAUGCAUAGAUAUCACGCAGAACCCCGAUUGCGAAGGCAGCAUACCGGCGCCCUACUGACGCUGAGGCACGAAAGUGCGGGUAUCGAACAGGAUUAGAUACCCCCGUAC